AGCUAUGGAAGAAAACAACCGAUCAGAUUGCAGCUAGGGUUCUUGUACGAGGAAGGAAUCCAAUUGCCGGAAGGAAUGCGAUGAUGAAUUUGAGUGUUGGUACUGGUCCAAUGAGUUUACACAGCUCAAAUAACCCAGGACCUGAGGACUGAUACAAUAGUGGCAGUGGGAAAAGUGGUUCAAGGCCUCUAUACAUUGGAUCAUUCUAGUUUUUUGCCUUCAAUGAUAGCUAAAUGUUUGUCUGAAACUUCAAUUGUACCUUCCGUUGCCUCUCAAAAUGGCUCUAAUACAAAUUUGCAUUCUUGCCAACUCACUCAAUUAGAUUACUCCAUGUUACAUGCUAGAUUGGGACAUGCUUCUAUUAAUAAAAUUAGACACCUUACUGGUUUUCGUUUUCUAAUUCAGAUAUUUUAAUUUGCCCUUUAGCUAAGCUUCAUAGAUUGCCAUUUGUUGACAGUAAAUCUCAUUCUUCUUUUCCUUUUGCCUUAUUGCACAUUGAUGUGUGGAGACCCUAUAGGGUUCAAUCUGUCACAGGGGCUCAUUAUUUUUUAACUAUAAUUGAUGAUUGUAGUCGAGCCACUUGGACUUAUAUGAUGCAGUCCAAGAGUCAAACAUUUCACACAUUGAGACAAUUUAUUCAAUAUGUAGCAACUCAAUUUCAUACCUCUAUUCUAGUCAUAAGAAAUGACAAUGGUAGUGAAUUUGUUAACAAGGCUUGCAAAGAUUUUUUUUGCCAUGAAAGGUAUUGUUCAUCAGUUAACCUGUCCAUAUACUCCACAGCAAAAUGAAAUAGUGGAGAGGAAACAUCGGCACCUUUUAGACACUGCAAGGGCCUUCAAAAUUCAAGCCCAUCUUGAUACACUUGUAUUAUAUAGAUAUUUUUAAGCAUAUUUGUAUAUUAUUUCACAGCAUUUAGAUAAGUAAUCUCAUGCAUAAUCAUUAAUUUCAUCAACUUUUGUAAAUUCCAUUGUCAAACUCUAAAUUCCAUAUUUUCUGCAUCAUUUCAGGUGUUUGAAUAAAGUUCCAAGACAUAGGAGUGCAGAAGUGCUACUGAUACACUUUACACGAGUCGUGUAAGCAAUGCCACAGACCCGUGUAACCUACUGCUAGGGGAAAACUAAAAGAGCCAAGGAAAAAAACUCAGUACACGGGCCGUGUACAGAGACCCGUGUAAACCAUGGAGACCCGUGUAAGUCUCUGCCUAGCCAGGAUUAAGGAUCUCUCUGUAAAGCAAAAGAACACAGGUCGUGUAAUUGGACUCGUGUAACCAGCAAUGCCCUGUAUAAUCUUCUGUACCAAUACGAUAUGCAGUCUGCAAAGCUCUAGUAAGUUACACGGCCCUGGGCCGUGUAGUGACACACAGGCCAUGUAUUAGCCAACGACCACUUUCCUGAUUUGGCUCCAGCUCCAGUCUUGACAAAGAGAAGAGACUUUUAAUACUUCUGGAACUCUGAAAACCUAAUCCUAGGCACUGAAUAUAAAUAGAAGCAGCAGAAAGCAGAAAAGAGGGGGGAUCCAGAGCCGAACAAUAACACCUUCAUCAUUUUCUCACAACCGCCAAGAAGAGUAGUGUAUCAGUAUCAAGGAGGAGCCUUCAGCUGAAGUUCUACAAUAUCAAAGCUGCAGAUUCUUUUCAGUUCUUUUGUUCUAUUUCUUUAAGCGAACUUUUAUUGUUCUUUUAUUUUAUUUUUAUUAUGUUUGCUGAACUCAUCAUGAGUGAGUAAUUUUCAUAUUCUGGGAUUAGGAGAAUAACGCUUGUAAUCAUUAUUAUGGACAAAUAUUGAGUUUUAUUUAUUAGAUUUGAGAUUUGUUCUUUGA